rnacentral:rRNA from 1 species
AUGAACGCUGGCGGCGUGCCUAACACAUGCAAGUCGAACGGAGUCCAGCCUUUAAGACCUUCGGGUCAAAGAGGGGAAGACUGAGUGGCGGACGGGUGAGUAACACGUGGGCAACCUGGCUCAUAGAGGGGGAUAACAGAGAGAAAUUUCUGCUAAUACCGCAUAAGCACACACUGCCGCAUGGCAGAGGGUGAAAAGAGAAUCGCUAUGAGAUGGACCCGCGUCUGAUUAGCCAGUUGGCAGGGUAAGAGCCUACCAAAGCGACGAUCAGUAGCCGAUCUGAGAGGAUGAACGGCCACAUUGGGACUGAGACACGGCCCAAACUCCUACGGGAGGCAGCAGUGGGGGAUAUUGCACAAUGGGGGGAACCCUGAUGCAGCGACGCCGCGUGAGUGAAGAAGUAUUUCGGUAUGUAAAGCUCUAUCAGCAGGGAAGAUAAUGACAGUACCUGAAUAGGAAGCCCCGGCUAACUACGUG